AGCCCCGUAGUCUAGCGGUCAAGGAUAGAGCCCUCUGGAGGCUUUGACCCCAGUUCGAAUCUGGGCGGGGCUA
rnacentral:tRNA from 1 species